UUAUAACUCCUGGUAACAGCAAUUCAAUUCAGGGUGGCUAAUGAUGAUUUCAUGAGGCCAGAUUGCUAUUCCUAACUUAUUAGAAUAGUAAUCACCCUUGUAGACCUUGAUACAUUCAUCACAAUCUAUUCUGAAAAUAGAUCUAAUCAGUUUUGAGAGUGUUGCUUAAUGUUGAGUGUCUUACUUGAUUGAAUGAAAAUUCUGCUGUCGAUCUCUAACCUGGACUGUGCAGCACCACAGAUGGCCAAUUACAGUAUCAAGCAAGCUUCACUACUAUUUUCAGAUCGUCUUGCCGUAGGUCCAAGGUUCAGAUCUGAGCUCUGAUACCAAAUUUUGUAAUAUCCCGGCUUUUCCAAAGGAAUUCAGUGAGAUGUAUGUGUAAAUCUGAAGAUAUAAUUGAGAUGGAGGAGGAGAUUAACAGGGAAAGGAGAGGUCAGAUUGGGAAGGGAGUUUAGAUCGGAGAAAGAAAAGUUUUGGGGGGAAUCUAAAUAUUUUUCUUUGCAUGAUUUGAAGCUCUGUUACAGCUCCUUUUUAUAUGCAGUUAUAGAUAAUGUAAAUACAAUGUUUUCAAAAUGAAAUGCAACUCUAAUUAAAUGGAGAUGGCAUUUUUCAAGAAUGAAAUACAAAUAUGAAAUGAAAUGCAAAUAUUCCUAAAUGAAAUGUGAAAUAAAAUUCGAAAGGAUAUUUUUGAGGCUUGUCAGAGCGGGUUGUUGGGUUUGAUGGCUGAAUCCAUGACCCGAACCUGACAGAAUAAAAGGGUUCAGAACCCUCUGGAUCUUGUCGCUUCUCCCGUUUCUUUUUAUCUUCCUCUCUGAAACCCUAGCCAACUCUUAACCCUCUUUUGAAACCCUAGCCGCUCCCGAGGAAGGAGAAGGGUGUGCCCGGCAUGGUUCGGGAUCUCCUAGAGUCAGACCAAGUCUUUCUGAUUCUUUUGCUCCUCUACCAGCAAUCCUGAUGAGGAUGAGUAUUUCUAACUCAUUUUAUUUUUUUAUUUUUUAUUUUUUGCUAAGAUGUUAUAAUAAAAUAAUAGUCAGGGUAUCUUACGUUGACGGUGUAUCCUUGCUGGCAGACGUGCUUGUAUCCACGAACCGCGUCCACAGUUGGGAAGUUGGUCAUCUGUAAGAGCCCAGAUCACCACAGAGGCUCCAGCCAAGGCACAUAAGGUCUCUCUGAAGAAUGACGAGGGUGUCAUCGUUAACAAGUACAUUGGGAGAUGCCUCCUGAACACCAAGAUCACCCGGAUGAUGCCCCCAGAAAAUCUGGCACAUCGUCUUCAGCAUCGAGGGUUUCUUCGUGUGUAAAGUGGCUUGUUUAUACCAAUGAACAAGGGGAAAUGUUCCUUGCUUGAUUGAUUGAUCAUAUUCCACUCAUGUUAUGCUGUUGUAUUUACGGUGACAUGAAACCUCGGGACUGGUUGGGAAAGAAAUGCUUGUGCCUAAGGACACCAAUGCAAAUAUUAUAAUGCUUGCGACAGGAACAGGGUUCUCGCCUUCGUGCUCCUUGUGGAAAAUGUUCUUUGAGGAGCAUGAUGACUACAAGUCUUGCAGUCAGUAGGAAUUUGAGAAGAUGAUAGAGAAGGCACCAAAUAAUUUCAGGGUGAACUUUGCUCAGUGGAGAAAAAACAAAUGACCAGGGAGGAAAAAAAAUACAAAUUCCUAUGGCUCAGUAUGCCAACUAACUGUGGGAUCUACUCAAGAGGGGUGAUACCUAUGUAUAUACGUGUUGACUAAAAGAAAUGGAAAGGACAUUGAUGACAUUAUGGUAUCUUUGGCUGCUAAAGAUGGUAUUGACUGGUCAGAAUACAGAAGGAACUUGUAGAGGGAAGUGCAGUGGAAUGUGGAAGUAUAUCAGCUUGCAUUUUGUGCAUGCUGUGCUUCUCCUUCAAGAAGCCUACUCCAUUUGUACGUACUUCAAAUUCUCAAGUGCCCGUGUCUUUUAUCUCCAUUCUACUGCUCUGUUUCCAAUGGAUAUCCAUGUUGUCUUGAUGGGAAAUACGCAUUAUUGUAUUUUACUGCUUGGCUCGUCCCUGCUUUCUUGCACACUUUGGAAACAUUUUAGAUUUUUAUUAUGGAGAGAAAUGACGAAAAUGCGACAUUAUGGUGUUGAAGUGUAUUUGGGAUGAGGACAAUCUCAAAUCAAACUAUUAUUUUAACAACAUUGGUUUGGAGUUACCAGUCAUUGAAGCAAUUAUUGGUUAGAAUCUUUAAAUUACUUAUGUAUCUCCGAGCAAUGAAUUAAGGGCUUGUAACAAAAUUCAAGUUAGGCUUCUCAACAAACAAUACCUGGCUAUUGGUUAAAAGUCAGCAAUAUCAGGACUUCUGCCAUACAACAACACAACCACAUUCUGGACCUAGUUCCCAAAAACUAUCUUGGAAAAAUCCUUAUUUCUAUAUGGGUUAUGUGGAUAUUCUGUGAGAGGUCGUUAUCAUA